rnacentral:tRNA from 1 species
GGGCCUGUGAUGUUGCCGAACGUUACUUUGCUGGCACCGGUCUUCUAAACCGAGGGUCGCUGGUUCGAAUCCAGCCGGGCGCGCCA